UAUGACAAAAUAAAAUAGUGGGCUAACAGAGCAAAAAAUGCAUGAUUCACAGUUCGGCUACAUCUACGCCACCACAACAAUUGCAUAAAAAACGAAAGUUAACUUACUACGUUACCCAUAACGCACUUUAGUGUUUUAAAGCUAUACCCCUACUUUACCAACGGUACAUUAGUACUCUCUAAAUUGCCCCCUGCCGCUCCGGCCGCCCAGAGUGGCUCGCUUGUGGGUGUGCUGGCAGCAAAUAGCAGCACAUUCGACUGUGAGUCAAAAAUUCAGCGUAGCAAGUUUGUAUGAAGGUUUGGUUAUUAAAUGGGUAAAUAGUUUAAUCCAUUCGCCGUUUAAUAAUGUAUUCACAGGUAAAUAGUAAUACGCUCUAAACCGCUCUGGUGACAAACAAACUUUGUUGCCCUGUCUCCAAUCAUCCACAUGGCUGAGAUAACCUAUUCAAAUACAGAGAGCUGUGAAAGCCUGUCUGCAGAUGAAGAGGUCCCAAUGAAGAGCAGUGGUUCUCUGUCCCGGUCCUGGGGUCUCAAAGGGGUGCACAUUUUAGUUUUUGCCUUAGCACUACACAGCUGAUUCAAGUGAUCAACUCAUCAAGUUUCAACUGAUACCUUGCAACUGGAGAUUCUUUCAAAACGAUUGCCUACAGUUACCGUGUAGGGCACUGCACGGCUUGGUACAUUGUCGCGAGUGUGACCAGGGCCAUCUAGGACUGCCUCGUGGGGGAAUUCAGGCGUGUGUGAAGGCUACCUGUGUCCUGCAUAACUUCAUGAGGAUGGACACAAGGACUAUGAGGGGACCUGCAGCUCUCUGCCGUGUGCCAGAGGUCUGCUGCUCUGUAGGAUGUUGCACAGAUGGGGACCAACAACGCAGCAUGGGAGGCAAUCCUACUUCUUCGAAAUCUAUAUACAGUGUGUGCAAAUGUAGUAAGUUAUGGAGGUUAUAUCAGCUGUGUCGGUGAACCCGUCCCGCUUCUGAACUGCCUAAAACAGAGGGCACAGCAUGAUCAGAGGUAUGUUUUGAUGUGAGAGAGGAUGCCAACCUCCAGUCCCGUCAUCGCCACCUCACUUGCUUGAAGAUAACCCUCGGGCCAACUGGGGGCCCAAGGCUGGUUAGGAGACACCGCUAAAGACACUAUUAUGUAAUUGUGAUGACCUGCGAGAAUACGAAGUUUAGUAGCACUGUAAUUCAUUAAUCAUAUGCUGUCUUCCCUGCUAAUCUGUUCUUAUCUCUUUCCCUUUCUGUC